GACGAACGCUGGCGGCGUGCCUAAUACAUGCAAGUAGAACGCUGAAGGAGGAGCUUGCUUCUCUGGAUGAGUUGCGAACGGGUGAGUAACGCGUAGGUAACCUGCCUGGUAGCGGGGGAUAACUAUUGGAAACGAUAGCUAAUACCGCAUAAGAGUAGAUGUUGCAUGACAUUUGCUUAAAAGGUGCAAUUGCAUCACUACCAGAUGGACCUGCGUUGUAUUAGCUAGUUGGUGGGGUAACGGCUCACCAAGGCGACGAUACAUAGCCGACCUGAGAGGGUGAUCGGCCACACUGGGACUGAGACACGGCCCAGACUCCUACGGGAGGCAGCAGUAGGGAAUCUUCGGCAAUGGACGGAAGGCUGACCGAGCAACGCCGCGUGAGUGAAGAAGGUUUUCGGAUCGUAAAGCUCGGUUGUAAGAGAAGAACGAGUGUGAGAGUGGAAAGUUCACACUGUGACGGUAUCUUACCAGAAAGGGACGGCUAACUACGUG
rnacentral:rRNA from 1 species